UGCAUUUAUGAACGCGCUGUGCAGUAAAAUGGAAUUGUUACUAAGUUUGGUCAUGGACGAUGUAUGUGAGGAAAAAACCGAUAGUCUUUUAUUAAAUUUAAGAAAAAAAAAAAAAACCGUGUAAAGCUUAAAAGAAGGACAUAUCUUGUCAAAAGUUUAAUAUCUUUUUUUUAUUCGCUUAUAUGUGCCCAGAGCACGCCCUUUUUCCUCCUUCCCGACGUGAACUCGUUCUCCAUGCUCAGUCGGACUCUGAGCAGUAAUUCUAUCUCCGAUGUACUAAAGUAAUCACUAAAACCAAGAAAAGUAUAAUAAAAUAAAGUUUAAAUAUCGUAUUUUUCAUCAAUUUUUGUAUUAAAAGCUAAAAUAAAUAAUUAAAUACCCACUUUU